rnacentral:rRNA from 1 species
AUUGAACGCUGGCGGCAUGCUUUACACAUGCAAGUCGAACGGUAACAGGCCGCAAGGUGCUGACGAGUGGCGAACGGGUGAGUAAUGCAUCGGAACGUGCCCAGUCGUGGGGGAUAACUACUCGAAAGAGUAGCUAAUACCGCAUACGAUCUAUGGAUGAAAGCGGGGGACUGUAAGGCCUCGCGCGAUUGGAGCGGCCGAUGUCAGAUUAGGUAGGUGGUGGGGUAAAGGCUCACCAAGACAACGAUCUGUAGCCGGUCUGAGAGGACGACCAGCCACACUGGGACUGAGACACGGCCCAGACUCCUACGGGAGGCAGCAGUGGGGAAUUUUGGACAAUGGGCGCAAGCCUGAUCCAGCAAUGCCGCGUGCAGGAAGAAGGCCUUCGGGUUGUAAACUGCUUUUGUACGGAACGAAACGGCUCUGGUUAAUACCCGGGGCUAAUGACGGUACCGUAAGAAUAAGCACCGGCUAACUACGUG